AGUCUCUGUGAAUAUCAUUACUACACGGAUACCUGUGGUAAUUCUGGAGCUAAUACGUGCCAAAACACUGCUUGCAGUGGCACCUAUCAGAUUCGAACCAACCCAUGCUUGCAUGGAGCUCGGUGAUCCAAGAUAGUCUGGUGAAGGCCUGGCAACAGGCCAAGUUCACUUGAGUUUCUGACCUAUCAGCUGUCGACGGUAGGGUAUUGGCCUACCGUGGCGAUGACGGGUAACGGGGAAUUAGGGUUUGAUUCCGGAGAGGGAGCCUGAGAGAUGGCUACCACAUCUAAGGAAGGCAGCAGGCGCGCAAAUUACCCAAUGCUGACACAGCGAGGUAGUGACAAGAAAUAUCGGUGAAAGCCAUAUGGUUUUCAAUCGGAAUGAGUUGAAUCCAAAACUCUCUGCGAGUAUCAAUUGGAGGGCAAGUCUGGUGCCAGCAGCCGCGGUAAUUCCAGCUCCAAUAGCGUAUAUUAAAGUUGUUGCAGUUGAAACGCUCGUAGUCGAAUCUCAGCACGCUCAGCUGGUCUCCCUCACGGGCUGUACUAAGCUGGGUUGCUCUGUCCUGUGUGGUGUCUGGGUUACCCAGACUCCAUCAGGGUGUCACUUUGAGAAAAUUUGAGUGUUUCAAGCAGGCUUACGCCUUGAAAACUCCAGCAUGGAAUGACAAGUAAGGACUCCGGUUCCCCUUGUUGGUUCACGAACCAGAGUAAUGAUUAAGAGGAGCAGUUGGGGGCAUUCGUACUCGGCGGCUAGAGGUGAAAUUCUUAGAUUCGCCGAUGACGAACUACUGCGAAAGCAUUUGCCAUGGAUGUUUUCAUUGAUCAAGAACGAAAGUGCGAGGAUAGAAGAAGAUCAGAUACCUUUGUAUUUCGCACCGGGACCUAUACCGACUAGAAAUUGGAGCGUGUCAAUCAUACGUCCACUCCGGGCUUCUCAUGAGAAAUCAAAGUUUUUGGGUUCUGGGGGGAGUAUGGUUCGCAAGGCUGAAACUUAAAGGAAUUGACGGAAGGGCACCACCAGGAGUGGAGCCUGGCGGCUUAAUUUGACUCCAACACGGGAAAACUCCACCCAGGUCCAGACAUAGGAAGGAUUGACAGAUUGAGAGCUCUUUCUUGAUUCUAUGGGUGGUGGUGCAUGGCCGUUCUUAGUUGGUGGAGUGGUCUGUCUGGUUAAUUCCGAUAACGAACGAGACAUUGGCCUGCUAAAUAGUCACUGGAGGUCUCCUUCAGCUGUGCUUCUUAGAGGGACUUUGCGUGUCUAACGCAAGGAAGUUCAAUGCAAUAACAGGUCUGUGAUGCCCUUAGAUGUUCUGGGCGGCACGCGCGCUACACUGAUGCGCUCAGCGAGUUCCCCUGGUCUGAAGAGGUCGGGUAAUCUUGUGAGUGCGCAUCGUAUCGGGGAUUGACCCUUGCAAUUAUUGGUCAUGAACGAGGAAUUCCUAGUAAGCGCAAGUCAUCGGCUUGCGCUGAUUACGUCCCUGCCCUUUGUACACACCGCCCGUCGCUUCAACCGACUGGAUGGUCCGGUGAAUGAUUCGGACUGCGAGCACUUUGGCAACAGAGAGCUUGUGGAAAGUUUUGUAAACCCAACCAUCUGAAGGAUGAAAAAGUCGUAACACGGUACCUGUAGGUGAACCUGCAGGUGGAUCAUUCAUAGCUACUGCUUCACAUUGACUUCAGGACAUACGAAUUGAAUGGUGUGACCACUGACAACAUAAUGGUGACCACUUAUGACCACUUACCACAUGACUUUCAGCGAUGGAUGUCUCGGUUCUCGUAACGAUGAAGGGCGCAGCCAGCUGCGAUAUGCAGUGUGACUCGCAAACUUCAAUGAAUCACUAGACUCUUGAACGCAAACGGUACCUCUGAGCUUGCUUGGAGGUAUGUUCACUUCAGCAUGCUGUCUUUCAUCCGAUCACUGCGGUGGUUCGGUUGUGGUGCGCUGCUCCAAUAGGGCAGAUGCUUGAAGGCUUUGAUCCUCUGGUGAACACCUUAGGUGAUCCGCUCCCAUCACAUGCGUCUGAAGUUGAGCAAGACUACCCGCCUAACUUAAGCAUAUCAGUCAGCGGAGGAAAAGAAACUAACCAGGAUUCCCUCAGUAGCGGCGAGCGAACAGGGAAGAGCUCAAGUUGAAAAUCGGCAGCUUGCUGACCGAAUUGUAGUCUCACGAACAGUUGCCUGUCGGGUCAUGGGUCUAAGUCUCUUGGAAAAGAGUACCAUGGAGGGUGAAAGUCCCGUCUGUGAUCCAUUGAUCCGACGUUCGGUGCUGAUUCUUCGAGUCGUGUUCCUUGAGAUUGGAGCACUAAACGGGUGAUAAGCUUCAUCCAAAGCUAAAUACUAACGAGAAUCCGAUAGCGAACAAGUACCG
rnacentral:rRNA from 1 species